UAAAAAGUACUCAUAUUAUUGAAAAGAUAAGAAUUAAUAGUUUUCUACUACAUUUUUCAGCAUUCCAAAUGUUCAGAUGGGUCUUUUUUAACUUAGUAGCCAGAACUCAGAAACGUUAUUAUUGUCAGACAUGAAUUCUGUUAUCACAAAGAAAAAUUUAAGGAGAAAGAAAUUAGAAGUAGAGAGUAAAUUAUUUUAGAUUUUACUCUGGAAAUAAAGCCAAAACACUCAUCAAUAUUCAGAAUUUCUGAUUCCUGGGGUUCCUGGGUGGCUCAGUCAAUUAAGCAUCCAUCUCUUGAUUUUGGCUCAGGUCAUGAUCUCAUAGUUCAUAAGAUCGAGCCUUGUAUCAAGCUCCACACUGACAGUGUGGGGCCUACUUGGGAUUCUGUCUCUCCCUCCCUCUCUGCCCUUCUGUUGCUCAUGCGUGCAUGCACACUCUUUCUCUCAGAAAGAAGAAGAGAGAGUGAGAAAGAAAGAAGAAAGAAUAGAAUUUCUGAUUAUUGAAUUAACUUCCAUUUUUCCUGAGUAUGGCAGUUAUAUAAUCCACAAGUAAUACAGGUUAUGAUUUACUGGCUUAACUACCUAUUAUAAUUUGUGGGUGCUUUUUGUAUGAUUUUCUACAUAUAAAAAAAGAAAGAAUUUAAAUAUUUAAUAUUUUAAAUAUUGAAUAUUAUUAUUUAAAUCAUCUAUAUAAGCUAAUAAAAUAUCACCUAUCAUUUUAUAUUUCAAUGUCUGCGAAAUUCAUUUAAACUAAGAGUUCUAAUUCAAAAAUCAUUUUUGAAAACUAUUCUGACAGUUUCAUUUUUGUGUGUUGUUUAAAGAAGUCUCCAAAACAAAAUUGGGUCAUGCAGCCAGCUUUAUGAAGAGACAUUCAUUUCAUUCGGGAACAGAAAUUGCAUAUUGUCAUAGUGAUUUGUGUUAACUUUUGAUUUAGAAAAUACUCAUUUUUGGAAUCUCAGGCAAAACAUAAAAUGUAAAGGGGUCAGGAAGUGAACACUGGCUUUUUAAUAAUUGCUGAAACUUAGAAUCAGUAAUUUGACAAUCUGAACUACAGAUUACAUAUUUCAGGAGGGUAGCAGGUCUUAACCUGCCUAAUUAGUCUUGAGCAUACCGAGUUAUAAAUUCUUUGAUAUAAAUUGCUUAGGUAACAGAAAACAUAUUAUAUAAUCUUACGGGGUUUUUUUAAUAGUAAGGACUUCAAGUACUACAAAUCAGCAGUGAAAACGACUAUCAAAAAUAAAGCAACUAUAAAAAAAGAUAACCAUCACUUCUUAUAUGUAUUAGCCAAGACUGAUAACAAGGGAGAAAAACCUAAGUCAGCUGGUUUAAGUAAAGAAGGAUAUAGAUUGGCCUUAUAAUUAAAAGUAUACAUAUGUAUGUGACUCAAAGCCCAGCUGAAUCCUUGGACUCAGACUGUCAUCAAGACUUGGUCUCUUCAAAUUGUUCAGGUCUGCUUCUGUCUGAUUUGUUUUUACUUUAGGUCAGCCACAAGGUGGCUGCUACCAUUCCCAGACUCACACUCUCAAAGCUUUGAAAGCCCAGUGGGAAGACAGACUUUCUUGCCUGAUAGUUUGAGCAAAGACUUCUAGGUUGAUUCUCACUUCACUAACCUGCAUGCUAUCACCUGCUCACCUCCAACUAAUCAUAAUAACCAUACCUGGCUGUCAUGCCCAUCUCUGCACAGGGAGAUAGUAGAGGAGAGGUAUGGAUUCUCUUACAAAAGGAGGGAGAAUAGAUACCUGUUAGUCAAAACUUAAAAUAUCCACUACUAGGGCACCUGAGCAACUCAGUCGGUUGAACAUUCGACUCUUGAUUUCGGCUCAGGUCAUGGCUCUAGGCCAUGUGUGUUAGUCUCCACGCUGAACAUGAAGCCUGCUUAAGAUUCUCUCUCCCUCCACUCCUCUCCCUGCCAUCUGCCCCCUUCUCCCGCUUGUAUGUGCACUCUCUUUCUCUCUGUCCAAAAUAAAAAAAAAAAAAAGAUCUCCACUACCUACUUUAAAAACUCUUAACAAAGAUUUUUUCCAGUGUCUGCUAUAUAGUCAAGAAUGUAUUUUUUUUUACUUUUUUUUUAAUGUUUAUUUUUUAUUUUUGAGAGAGAGCAUAAGUAGGGGAGAGGCCGAGAGAGAAAGGGAGACAGAAUCUGAAGCAGGCUCCAGGCUGUCAGCACAGAGCCCUAUGCGGGGCUCGAACCCAUGAACCAUCAGAUCAUGACCUGAGCUGAAGUUUGAUGUUUAACCGACUGAGCCACCCAGGUCCCAAGAAUAUAUUUUUAAAACUAUUUGAAAUUCCAUAAUUGAGAGUCUAUUUGAAUAUAUUGUGUAAUUCAUUGAAAGCAUGAGAAAGAAAAAAGGUCCUUCCUUUUUUUUUUUUUUUUUUUUUUUUUUUUUAAUCUAAGUCUACAAGGGGCGCCUGGGAGGCUCAGUUGGUUAAGCAUCUGACUUCAGCUCAGGUCAUGAUCUCACAGUAUGUGAGUUCAAGCCCCAUGUCGGGCUCUGCUGACAGCUCAGAGCCUGGAGCCUGCUUCAGAUUCUGUGUCUCCCUCUCUCUCUGCCCCUCCCCUGCUCAUGCUGUGUCUCUCUCUGUCUCAAAAAUAAAUAAAAACAUUUUUAAAACUUUAAAAAAAAACCUAAGUCUACUAGUCAAAGAUUAUCUCUAGUUGAAUUGGCACUAAUUGAUUGUCAGAUGAUUACAUUAAUUUUACUUACUGAAGAAGUAUACUUCAAAAAAAAUAGCAGUAUACUACAAAAGGCAUAUAAAUUCAGCAUUAAAAAUUAUAUAUUUGAGGGACACCCUGGGUGGCUCAGUUGAUUAAGCUUCCAAUUCUUGAUUUUGGUUCAGGUCGUGAUCCCAUGGUUUGGGAAAUCGAGCCCCAAAUCGGGCUCUGCACUAACAGCAAGGAACUUGCUUGGGAUUUUCUCCUUGUUUCUCUGCGUGUCCACCCCCCCCCCCCGGCUUGCUCUCUGUCUCUCAAAAAUAAGUAAACUUAAAAAAAUUAUAUAUUGGAGAGGCAUAUUAAAAGGACAUUAGAGGUGCCUGGGUGGCUCAGUCAGUUAAGCGUCUGAAUUUCGUAGUUCUUGAGUUUGAGCCUCACAUCAGGCUCUCUGCUGUGGAAACAGUCCCCACUUUGGAUCCUCUGUCCCCUUCUCCCUCUGCCCCUUCCCAGCUCAGGCCCGUGCACUUUCUCUCAAAAAUAAAUAAAUAAAUAGAUUGAUAGAUUGAUUAGAUAAGUAGAUGGACAAAUAGACAUUAAAGGGAUGCCUGACCUUGGGCGCCUAGGUGGCUCAAGCAGGUAAGCAUCUGACUCUUGAUUUCGGCUCAGGUCAUGCUCAUGGUUCAUUGCGUUCAAGCCCUGCUAAAUGCACAGAGCACAGAGCUUGCUUAAAAUUCUCUCUCCCCUCCCCUCUCUCUCUGCUCCUCCCCAUUCUCUCUCUCUUUCCCUCAAAAUAAAUAAACUCUUUUUAAAAAAGGUUGGGGGGGGGGGGCCCUGGAUGGCUCAGUCAGUUAAGCAUCUGACUCUUGAUUUCAGCUUAGGUCAUGAUCUCAUGGUUCGGGAGUUCGAGCCUCACAUCGGGCUCUGUGCUGUUAGCAUAGAGCCUGCUUGGGAUUUUCUCUCUCUCUCUCUCUCUCUCUCUCUCUCUCUCUCUCUCUCUCUCACUCUCUGCCCCUCCCUCACUCUCACACACACUCUCUGUCAAAAAUAAAUAAACUUUAAAAAAAAAACCAAAGGACACUAAAAACCCUGAAAUUAAACCAUUAUCUUAUCCUCAUAACUGCCUGGUUCUAAUCAACUGAUCUCACCUGGAUAGCCAUGUAUAUAUACAUAUAUAGAUUGUGUUUGGAAAAAUGAGAAAACUUGGGAACAGACGAAUCAAAGAGAAUAAUCAAUAAAAGAUAAGUUAACAUAAAAAUACCAUAACCCCAGGGGCACCUGGGUGGCUCAGUUGGUUAAACGUCAGACUCUUGGUUUCGGCUCCGGUUAUGAUCUCGCAGUUCAUGAAUUUGAGUCCCACAUCAGGCU